GUCUAGAUUUUGUUCCCACCUCUGUCACAGAUUUGCUGUUAUUUUGUAUUCUGACAUCACUGUUAACUUUGAAAAUCUGAAUUUCUAGGUGGUGCUCUGAAGAAGACUGGAACCUGAUUUUCUUGACUUCCACUGGGUCACUGAUGGGCUCUUGGCACCUCAAGCAAUCAGAUUUCAGGUGUCCCAAAGCAUGUACCUCAAACCCCAGGGUCAAAUUUGUCUCAGUUCAGUAACGCCUGGAAAGCACUGCUGUGCAGUGGGGUUUGAUGUGAAAUAAGCACAGGUCCCUCCACAGCACAGUCGAGAUCCACAGCACAGAAAAUCACCACUGUAAUUGCUCUCUGUAUCAGCUGCCCUGGGAAAAUAUAAAAUAAAAUCAUAAAUAAAUAAAAAUCAGUGACUGAAUUGGC